UACGUAGGGGGCUAGCGUUGUCCGGAAUCAUUGGGCGUAAAGGGCGCGUAGGCGGCUGCUCAAGUCGGGUGUGAAAGCCCGGGGCUCAACCCCGGAACGGCACCCGAGACUGGGCGGCUCGAGACCGGGAGAGGUGGGUGGAAUACCCAGUGUAGAGGUGAAAUUCGUAGAUAUUGGGUGGAACACCGGUGGCGAAAGCGGCUCACUGGCCCGGUUCUGACGCUGAGGCGCGAAAGCGUGGGGAGCAAACAGG
rnacentral:rRNA from 1 species